rnacentral:rRNA from 1 species
UACGUAGGGGGCAAGCGUUGUCCGGAUUUAUUGGGCGUAAAGAGCGUGUAGGCGGCCAAGCAGGUCAGCUGUGAAAACUCGAGGCUCAACCUCGAGACGUCGGUUGAAACCGCUUGGCUAGAGUCCGGAAGAGGAGAGUGGAAUUCCCGGUGUAGCGGUGAAAUGCGCAGAUAUCGGGAAGAACACCCGUGGCGAAGGCGGCUCUCUGGGACGGUACUGGACGCUGAGACGCGAAAAGCGUGGGGAGCGAACGAGG